GCUCUUGUAGUGUAGUGGCUAUCACGUUACCUUCACACGGUAAAGGUCCUGAGUUCGAACCUCAGCUGGAGCA
rnacentral:tRNA from 2 species